rnacentral:misc_RNA from 1 species
CGCAUAUUGCGCCCCUUGGUAUUCCGAAGGGCAUACCUGUUCGAGCGUCAUUAUCAACCAUCAAGCCCGGCUUGUUAUUGGGUCCUUAUCGGUAAAAGAUAGGCCCGAAAGAUAAUGGCGGUGUCAUGAUUGAUCCCCGGUGCAGCGAGCUUUUUAAGCAUACACCGAGGCGGUCGUUAUGUCCCGGCCUUUUGUUUAACCAAACAUUUACAAGGUUGACCUCGGAUCAGGUAGGAAUACCCGCUGAACUUAA